rnacentral:rRNA from 1 species
GAUGAACGCUGGCGGCGUGCCUAAUACAUGCAAGUCGAACGAAGAUCUAGCUUGCUAGAUCUUCGUGGCGAACGGGUGAGUAAUACAUAAAUAAUCUGCCCAUAUGACUGGGAUAACUAUUGGAAACGAUAGCUAAUACCGGAUAGGUUGAUUGGAGGCAUCUCUGAUUAAUUAAAGUAGGAUUUCUACACAAAUGGAUGAGUUUAUGGCGCAUUAGUUAGUUGGUGGGGUAACGGCCUACCACGACGAUGAUGCGUAGCCGACCUGAGAGGGUGACCGGCCCCACUGGGACUGAGUGACGGCCCAGACUCCGACGGGAGGCAGCAGUAGGGAAUUUUCGGCGACGGGCGCAAGCCGGACCGAGCAACGCCGCGUGAGUGAUUAAGGGCUUCGGGUUGGAAAGCUCUGCUGUAAGGGAAGAACAUUCAGGAUAGGAAAUGAUCUGGAACUGACGGUACCUGACCAGAAAGCCACGGCUAACUACGUGCCAGCCGCCGCCGUAA